GUUACAAUUGGAGGGCAAGUCUGGUGCCUGCAGCCGCCGUAAUUCCAGCUCCAAUAGCGUAUAUUAAAGUUGUAGCAGUUAAAAAGCUCGUAGUUGGAUGUCUGCUGGAAGCAAUCAGUCCGCCCUAUUUGUAGGGUGUGCACUUGAUGAAUUCUGGCAUCUAUAUCCCAAUAAUAUGAUGGUGUAUACCCUGUGUACACCCAUCUAUAUUGGGAUAAUACCGUUACUUUGAGAAAAUUAGAGUGUUUGAAGCAGGCUAAUUGCCUUGAAUACUGCAGCAUGGAAUAACAAUAUAGGAUUUCGGUUCUAUUUUGUUGGUUUCUAGGACUGAAAUAAUGAUUAAUAGGGACAGUUGGGGGCAUUCGU
rnacentral:rRNA from 1 species